CAGACAUGAUGAUUUGUGACUACCGCCCCAGUCUGAUUUUAGCUGACUGAUUGGUAACCCUCUGACCUCCC